rnacentral:lncRNA from 1 species
UAGUUAUUUUUACAUCUUCACUGGAAACAAUACAUAAUUCAUUUCUACUCUGCCGAAUAGUCACAAAUAAAAUAAUUUUAAUAUUUUUCAAAAUUUUCCAAUGCUAUUUCGACAUACAUAUUUCCAGUUGUCUAUUUUGAAGGUACAUAUGAUUAACGAGAUGCAAAACAGUAAGUAUGAUAUCAGGCUUUGUACGAGUUGACGGUGCAUUGUAGAGUAGAUGAAUAUCUACAGAACAUAAUAAACGUUUCUGUCUAUAGUAUCAAUUGAAGAUGAG